rnacentral:sRNA from 1 species
AAAAUUUAUUUAGCGCACGUUACGAUAGCAAUUAAUAAACCAUACAGGUAGUCCAAAUAAGGACUUCAUCUUUUCCCGAAAUUAUGGUUUAAAAAAGGCCGCUUAAUAAUAAGCGGCCUGU